UACGUAGGUGGCAAGCGUUGUCCGGAUUUAUUGGGUUUAAAGGGUGCGUAGGCGGCCGCCUAAGUCAGUUGUGAAAUACCCCGGCUCAACCGGGGGGGUGCGAUUGAUACUGGGCGGCUCGAGUAACAGCGAGGUUGGCGGAAUUGACGGUGUAGCGGUGAAAUGCAUAGAUACCAUAAAGAACACCGAUUGCGAAGGCAGCUUACUAAGCUGUAACUGACGCUGAGGCACGAAAGCGUGGGGAGCGAACAGG
rnacentral:rRNA from 1 species